GACGGACGCUGGCGGCGUGCUUAACACAUGCAAGUCGAACGGAAAGGCCCUGCUUUUGUGGGGUGCUCGAGUGGCGAACGGGUGAGUAACACGUGAGUAACCUGCCCUUGACUUUGGGAUAACUUCAGGGAACUGGGGCUAAUACCGGAUAGGAGCUCCUGCUGCAUGGUGGGGGUUGGAAAGUUUCGGCGGUUGGGGAUGGACUCGCGGCUUAUCAGCUUGUUGGUGGGGUAGUGGCUUACCAAGGCUUUGACGGGUAGCCGGCCUGAGAGGGUGACCGGCCACAUUGGGACUGAGAUACGGCCCAGACUCCUACGGGAGGCAGCAGUGGGGAAUAUUGCACAAUGGGCGGAAGCCUGAUGCAGCAACGCCGCGUGCGGGAUGACGGCCUUCGGGUUGUAAACCGCUUUCGCCUGUGACGAAGCGUGAGUGACGGUAAUGGGUAAAGAAGCACCGGCUAACUACGUG
rnacentral:rRNA from 1 species